UGAGGCAGGAGAAUUGCUUGAACCCAGGAGGCGGAGGUUGCAGUGAGCCGAGAUCGUGCCACUGCACUCCAGCCUGGGUGACAGAGUGAGACUCCGUCUC
rnacentral:miRNA from 1 species